CAGAGUUGGAGCAGCAGUGCUAUCAGAUAACAUCUCUAGGAUACUUCACACCAUCUGACUGAUUUUAGAAAAGAUUGUUGCUGCCCAGUUCUAUUCCCACUUACAAGACCCCAGAGGACUCCAGAAACCUAUAGAUCUGCCACAGAACAGCUGGAAAGAGAAGACGUGUCAGAAGUACAGGGGAUAAAGUUCAGAUAUGGCUGAAUCACAGCUGCUAAAGAACAUAGGGGAUGUGAUAGCAGGAGUGCUUCCAGACCUUCCUGAUCAACGUGUUAAGUCCGUUGAAGAUACAUUGAAAACACUUGGUGCAGCAACCACAGAUGAUUUAAAGAACAUCACAGAAAACGAUUUGCUGCCAGUGUUAAAGCCCAUACAAGCACAAAGACUGGUUGCUGCCUGGACCCAAAAUAUCUCCGGGACUUCAACAACAAAAUCUGUGCAUUCAUCUCCAGUGGUUGUCUUUCCCUCUGCACCCUCAAUUUCUUCUUCACCAGCAUCAUCCACCUCUACAUCAUCUUCAGGAAUCUGUACACCAUUAAUACCAAACUGCUUAGAGCGAUUUGAAAUCCCAUGGCAGAGGCUCCCUGAGGAGUUAAUACAGAACUUGGAAAGACAGAAAAAACCAAGUGCAAGACAAUGAAGAGAAAUGGUGAGGAUCGUGGUCUCUGAAAUGAUGAAGAUUUGCAAGAAUCCAACCAAACACAACUUCUCAAGCUUCAGACUGAAAGAGGUCAGUCCAGUGGUUGCUCCCAAGAAGUCAUUGAGAUGCUGCUUCUUUUACUGGCUCAUUUUGAUGAGAAGGAAGAGCUUCUGUUCCACUGUGUUGAGACGACAAGCCUUGCAGAGGAUGUUCAGAUGGAGAAAGUGCCACCAACACCCUUCAUUAUUGUUUGUGGUUCCUCCUGCUUUGCUGCUGAGACAUUCAUGUUGAGCAUCGACAAGAAGAUUGUCAACGACCACAUCACAACCUUCACCUCCGCCAUCUGCCUGAUGUUUGGCAGUUAUUACUGCUUUAACACACACUACCCAGUGGAACUACGAUCAACACUGGAGUUUCUCCAACGCUAAUAUUCUGUUUUUAUGAACACCUUUUUUGGAUUUAUCAAACGUAUCAAUUUGAUAUCCAUCUCAGGUUGUUCAUUUUCUCAAUCUUUCUCUCACUCUAUUUUUUUUUCCAUAAAGGAGUUUCUUUUCCAUAAAUCCUGAGAGGCACCGAGGUUGAAUCCAAGAAGAAAAAAGUGUUGAGUCAAUCCCAGAGUCCUCACUCUCAUCUCAGACAUUGCUGACCAUGAGUGGAUCUAGUGCUCCCCUCUUGU